CAGAGGAGGAGCCAUCCUUGAACUGACAGGCCUGGGUGGAAUCAGCAUGGAGAGACUAAAACGUGAAAGGAACACUGUCAGAAACCAAUUUCCACCGCAGGAAAUGAGCGUGGCCUAGAAUAGAUGCAGAGCAUGAUUAAACUGCAGGACGGGCUCGGGAGGGAGGCUGAGCGGGCACUCAUCUCCCGGGAGGCGCCCCAGACCUACGCUGGGGCCACUGCUGAGUCAGAUCCCCGGAGGCGGUUCUUUGCAGAUGUCGCAGAGAAACAGGAUGCUGUGAGUCUUUUUGGGAAAUUCAGGCGCACAAAGACACCAGAAACAUGCACCCUCAGAGAAAAGGCCGGGUGAGGAUGCAGCGGGAGACAGCGACCCUCAGCAAGCCAAGGAGGGGCCUCCAGAGAAACCGAUCCCACCAACACCCCGAUCUGGGACUUGGAGCCUCCAGGACUGUGAGAAGUCGCUUUCUGUCACAUAAGCCACCCGUCUGUGUUUUCUCAUUGAGGCCGCUUUAGCAAAUGAAUACAAAUACAGGACCAAGAAGCCCGGAGGGCUGUGAACCUGCUUUGUCUCUCACAGGUGUGGGGUAUCUUAGGUCUCCUCUGGGCUGAGGUCUGCUUGCCGUUGGGUUCACACUGUGGGCACUCCUCCCAGGAGCUUUCCUGGUCCCUCUCCCUUUAGUCCCAAUCUCAACCAUCCCUCCAUGCUGACCAUACCCAACGCCCCAGCGCUGACUUCUCCAGGCCUGUAUUUCAGCUUCAUCCCAAUCUCAACCAUCCCUCCAUGCUGACCAUACCCAACGCCCCAGCGCUGACUUCUCCAGGCCUGUAUUUCAGCUUCCUCCUCCCAUUCACGCACACGUCGGAACAGGAGCUUAUUAUCUGAACUCCCAAACCCACCCCUCCGUCCAGUGGAUGGCAUCAGCAUUCUGCCCUGCAGGCUUGAAAGGGCGAGUAUCGAGGGGUGCCUCGAGAGUGCUGCCCAGAACCACUGUCUUUCUGGAAGUUACUGAAUUAUUUCAAACUGCAUUGAAGAUGUGUUUGUAGCACAGUGAUUUCUCCUGUGUGGGGUUUAGCCGUUGGCCCCAGUUCAGGAGAUGACAUCCAAAGCAUAAUAAUCAAGCCCUCCCCUCUCGAGGACAGCUAGUCUGGAAUGACAGUCCCUGUCUGGAUUUCUGGGACCUCUUCCUUGUUUCAGUACUUCAUCUCCAUGUCAUCAGACUGUUGAAAGGCUUUCUAAAAGGCUGGGUGUCCCUGGUUUUGACUCUAGAUUUUCAUGCCCCUGCCAAAAUAAUCUUCUGGAUUUACUUCGAGGGCAUUCGAUUAUGUGAGAGAUAAAAUCUAAAUCCCUUUCAAUGGCAUUCAAGGCUCUCCAGCUCCGAUCCUAAUCAGCCCUCCCAAGGCUGUUUCCACUUUUCCUCUUCUCCCACUGUAUCCUCUCACUCACCAAAGGCAGCCAGGCUUGAAACCGACAGCCUGGGUUCAAAUCCUGACCUCGCUACUUACUUGCUGUGUGACCUGAGGAGGCUUGUCAAGCACUAGGUAAUAAUAUCAAUAGCUAACUUUAACCCAGCACUUAGCUUGUAUCAGGCCCCACGACAAGAGAUCUCACAACUUGUUUUACUCAAUUCUCCUGCCAGCCCAAUUCUGUAGGGAACCCUCGGUCUUACUACCAUCCUCCUUGUACGCAGGAGAGCAAGGCACUAGACAUUUCAGUGCCUUUCCCAAGGCUCGAAGCCUCAGCUUUUGCAUCUGUAAAAUGAAGAUAAUCACUGUUUCUCUCUGUGUUAGUCAGGACUUUUCCCAGUUGCAAGUGACAGGAACCAACUCUAAGGACUCAAGCAAAACAAAGGAAGCACCCCUUCCAGGGGCAAGGAAUGUCCUCAGCCUGCUCCAGCUCUGCCUGUGGCGGAUCCAGCCUCCCAGGGAUGGACAUUCUAAGGAUACAGAAACCCAGUUCUCUGAUGCCUGUGAUCUCAGAAGGCAAGAAUCCCUCUCUCCCAGGGCCCAGAAUCGUGUCUGAGAAGGAUCAUGACAACCCAGGUGAAGGCGCCAGCCCCGUGUGUGGGAAGCGAGCCCAUGUUUGGAGAUUCUAGGCAGUUCCCCACAGGAAAAGAUUCUGGGGCUGCUCAAAACUAACAAGUGUUUGCUAACUUGGUCAAUUUAUUCAACUCAAUAGUUAUGGAGCGUCUGCCACGUGCAGGUGUGGGGAACUAGUAUGGAGCCCACGGGGAGGGAACUCCGUGAAGGCAUUACUCCUGGUGGCUCCUCCAGGGGACAUGCCAUAAAUUGAACAGGGGUGGGCUCAGCCUUCCCCUGCCAACACCAGGAAGCACUUCCACCCCUGGGCCUGUGGUUUACAAUGGGGUGCCCGCAUCAUGCUUCCGCUUCUCCCCUGCGACAAGGGACGAGUGUGUGUGUGUGUGUGUGUGUGUGUCUCAGCGCACACACCUGUGCUCUGCGCCCGUAAGCAGUCUCAGAUAAGGGCUGUGCUUACUAGAUGCACUGACGAAAGGAUGGAGAGGUGCACUGGGCUUUUUCUUUCCCUCGAAACUGGCACAGAAGAUUCAGGUUGUAUCAAAGUUCAAGUGCAGGAACAUGAAGCUGCUUUGUAUCAA